UUGGAUGUGGAUUUAACUUUGAAAUAUUGGCUUUUAUGAUGUCAUAGUUUUCCUUUCAAGUUAGAAGGUGGGCUUGACGGUCACCAUGGAGAUAAUGCAUCAGAAAACGUUGUGAAAGUCUAUAAAUAAAAGCCAUUUUCAUCUAUGAUGUCACUUUUUUAAAAAUGCCACGUAGACGCAGACAGGCUUCUCGCCCAGUUCGCAGGCGCAGGGGGCCCCGAAGGUCCACUGCUGCACGCAGACGUAGGAGGGUUGUCCGACGCAGACGCUAGGCAGACUCAACAAACAUGUAGCAUAAGCAUCAACAAACUCAAUCAA